AUGGAUCUGAUAAUGGGGAAGGUAGGCGGGUACUUGUUCAACCAGCAGACCAGCAAGGAGAUGAACAACAGUAUAUCAAGCAGUAUCGGAGAUGGAGCCAAAUGGGUGGUCAACAAAAUCAAAGGGAAAAUGCAGAAACCAUUGCCUGAACUCCUAAAGGAAUACGACCUUCCAAUGGGCCUCUUCCCACAAGACGCAUCCAUUUACGAGAUCAACGAGGAGACAAAGAAGCUCACGGUGCGCAUCGCGUCAGCGUGCGAGGUUGGCUACAAGGAUUCACUGGUGCUCCGGUUCUUCACCUGCGUGACCGGCAAACUCGACAAGGGGAAACUUUCGGGGGUGGAGGGCAUCAAGACCAAGAUCCUCAUCUGGAUCAAGGUGACCGCCGUCAGGACGGAAGCCUCCAAGGUGCAUUUUUGCGCCGGCUUGAACAAGACCCGGAAUCGCGACUCCUACGAGGUCGUCAGGGACGGUGUUUCCAUAGACAAGUUCUAG
rnacentral:rRNA from 1 species